CAAGUGUGUGACCGCCACGUGCUUGCGAUUUCUGAAAAUUGACCAAAAUAUGAUCCUGAACGUAAAAUAAGAUAAAUUGAUUUAUUCGCCCAGGAAUUCCAUCAAUUUCAAUGCCCAAAGUUGGAACUGCUCCAGAAUGAAUUAUGUCAGUUGAUGAAACUAAUAAAGACAUAAUGAUGAGGAGCACCGAUGAAGCAGUUAUGGCUCCACACAUCCAAAGGUAUGAGAAACCCAGAAUUUAAAAGAGCAUGGGACGUACAAGAAUACUUGAGACAAAACUUGGCUGUUGGAUUUCCGGUCAACAAGUCGAAUGACAUGUGAGGUAACGAUGGUUGAAAAAGGAGAUAUCACGCUGGCUGAUAAAGCGGGGACGAAAUAAAAGUCACGAGGCGCAGGUGAGGUUGCAUUUAAAAAAAGGUAUUGGAGAAAGGGAGAGACCAAGGAAUGUAUCACAUGACCGAAACUAUAACACAAAUUUGGUAUGUGGUGAAAGAAUCACAGUCUGCGAUUACAAUAUCAAAUUUGCAGAGCAUUGAGCUGAUAUCUAUCGACUAAUGUAAACUGCAGCGUCCAAGUUCCCACUCGCGGCAAUAUAUGGGAUCCUACUUGAAGGAGGUUCGAGGACUUUCACACAAGUCCACGGUGAAGCCGCGGAUUCCUUUAAAUAGAUGUUCCCCGUGACACAUAAGUAUCCCUAUGUCUAAGGCAGGGCCUGCUAAGCAAGUCUUACUGAUGAGUCCGAUCAUCAGCCUGGGAAGAAUCGCAUCUCUUUCUAUUUCCGCAGUCCUUCUAUCUGCUAGCAUUGUGUCAUUAACCGGUAAUCUUGUAAUCUAGAUCCAUAUCUUACU